ensembl:snRNA U6 U6 spliceosomal RNA
GUGCUUGCUUCAGCAGCACUUAUUAAGUUGGAAGGAUUCAGAGAAGAUUAGCUUAGCUCUUGUGCAAAGACAACAUGCAUGCUUGUGAAGUUUCCAUAGUUUUG